UUUACUCUAUAAGCAUCACUUUCGAUGUUUGCAAACCACUUUGAAUCUAGUUUUGACGAUUUGGAAGCAUUGACGCGAAGGUAGUUUCUUCUUCUUUUCUUGUACUUUCUAUAUUCUAUUAUCCUUUUUUGUAGGUGAAACAAGAAGGAUGUAUCCUUAUUUAACGAGAUGAUUCGUUCAUGAAUAAGACAAUCUUAGGGUGUGAGGGGAUGAAUCGGAGAGAUUAAUGACCCGACUACCAGAGAGGUUACUCUCAAAAUGACCCGACUACCGAAGAGAUUACUUUCAAAAUGACCCAACUAUUGGAGAGGCCAACUUAAGGUGCAAAGGGACUCAUAUGUCCACCUUAAGAUUGAAAAGUUAUAGUUCCUUUUAAAGACAAACCUACGAAGAUGCCAACUUAAGGUGCAAAGGGACUUAUAUGUCCACCUUAAGAUUGAAAAGUUAUAGUUUCUUUUCAAGGACAAACCCACGAAGAGGCCAACUUAAGGUACAAAGGGACUUAUAUGUCCACCUUAAGAUUGGAAAGUUAUAGUUUCCUUUUAAGGACAAACCCACGAAGAGGCCAACUUAAGGUGCAAAGGGACUUAUAUGUCCACCUUAAGAUUGGAAAGUUAUAGUUCCUUUUAAGGACAAACCUACGAAGAGGCCAACUAAGGGGCAAAGGGACUUAUAUGUCCACCUUAAGAUUGGAAAAUUAUAGUUUUCUUUUAAGGACAAACCCAUAAAGAGGCCAACUUAAGGUGCAAAGGGAUUUAUAUGUCCACCUUAAGAUUGGAAAGUUAUAAAGCUUCAACUCGAAGACUUCAUGGACUUGAUGACGUCGACUUGAACACUUGGAAAACUUUGAAGAUUUGGCGGACUUUGCACAUUACAACUUGAAGACUAACAAACUUGAAGAUUCGGUGGACUUUGACGUUUCAACCUGAAAAUUUAAGGUCUCAAAUACUUCCACUUGAAGACCGACGAGUUUGAGGACCUCAACUUGAAGACUUGGAGGUUUAAAUAUUUUGAAUUUAAGAUCGACGAAUUUGAAGACUGAAACUUGAAGACCGACGGACUUGGAGACUUCAACUUGGAGACUUGGAGGGCUUAAAUAUUUCAACUUGAAGAGUUGUAAACGUGAAGACCUCAACUUGAAGACCAACGGACUUGAAGAUUUCAACUUGGAGACUUCGAGGGCUUAAAUAUUUUAGCUUCUCUUUUGCUUUACAUUGUCCGACUUUUAUCUUAGUCGCAUAAUUUUCAGCUUUAUGCACUUGUAACAAAAGAUUCAUAUUUUGUCGUGGGAGAGUCCAAAUAAUGAACCGUUUGAUUUCUCGAAAAAUCUAGAAUCAAACACCUUCAGAAUCGCCCCAGAUAAUAUUUUUGAAACCAACUUUAGAUUUCAC
rnacentral:lncRNA from 1 species